GGACGGGUGAGUAACACGUGGGUAACCUGCCUGUAAGACUGGGAUAACUCCGGGAAACCGGAGCUAAUACCGGAUAGUUCCUUGAACCGCAUGGUUCAAGGAUGAAAGACGGUUUCGGCUGUCACUUACAGAUGGACCCGCGGCGCAUUAGCUAGUUGGUGAGGUAACGGCUCACCAAGGCGACGAUGCGUAGCCGACCUGAGAGGGUGAUCGGCCACACUGGGACUGAGACACGGCCCAGACUCCUACGGGAGGCAGCAGUAGGGAAUCUUCCGCAAUGGACGAAAGUCUGACGGAGCAACGCCGCGUGAGUGAUGAAGGUUUUCGGAUCGUAAAGCUCUGUUGUUAGGGAAGAACAAGUGCAAGAGUAACUGCUUGCACCUUGACGGUACCUAACCAGAAAGCCACGGCUAACUACGUGCCAGCAGCCGCGGUAAUACGUAGGUGGCAAGCGUUGUCCGGAAUUAUUGGGCGUAAAGGGCUCGCAGGCGGUUUCUUAAGUCUGAUGUGAAAGCCCCCGGCUCAACCGGGGAGGGUCAUUGGAAACUGGGAAACUUGAGUGCAGAAGAGGAGAGUGGAAUUCCACGUGUAGCGGUGAAAUGCGUAGAGAUGUGGAGGAACACCAGUGGCGAAGGCGACUCUCUGGUCUGUAACUGACGCUGAGGAGCGAAAGCGUGGGGAGCGAACAGGAUUAGAUACCCUGGUAGUCCACGCCGUAAACGAUGAGUGCUAAGUGUUAGGGGUUUCCGCCCCUUAGUGCUGCAGCUAACGCAUUAAGCACUCCGCCUGGGGAGUACGGUCGCAAGACUGAAACUCAAAGGAAUUUGACGGGGGCCCGC
rnacentral:rRNA from 1 species